CUACGGGGUGCUGCAGUGGGGAAUAUUGCACAAUGGAGGAAACUCUGAUGCAGCAACGCCGCGUGGAGGAUGACACUUUUCGGAGCGUAAACUCCUUUUAUAUAGGAAGAAGAUGACGGUACUAUAUGAAUAAGCGCCGGCUAACUCCGUGCCAGCAGCCGCGGUAAUACGGAGGGCGCAAGCGUUACUCGGAAUCACUGGGCGUAAAGAGCGUGUAGGCGGAUUAAAAAGUCAGAAGUGAAAUCCUAUAGCUUAACUAUAGAACUGCUUCUGAAACUCUUAAUCUAGAAUAUGGGAGAGGUAGAUGGAAUUUCUGGUGCAGGGGUAAAAUCCGUAGAGAUCAGAAGGAAUACCGAUUGCGAAGGCGAUCUACUAGAACAUUAUUGACGCUGAGACGUGAAAGCGUGGGGAGCAAACAGGAUUAGAUACCCGGGUAGUC
rnacentral:rRNA from 1 species